rnacentral:rRNA from 1 species
CCAAUAGCGUAUAUUAAAGUUGUUGCAGUUAAAAAGCUCGUAGUUGAAUUUCGGGAUCAAUAUUUCGGUCAUGCCGUUGGUAUGCACUGUUAUCAUUGAUUUCUCACCUUCUAAAGAAUCGUGAUGCCAUUAAUUUGGUGUUACGGGGAAUUAGGACUGUUACCUUGAAAAAAUUAGAGUGUUUAAAGCAGGCUCACGCU